CCCAAAUUAAGAACACACUAUUGUAGAAAUGAAGUUGUUAAAUGUAUCCAUGUAGGGUUAUUAUGUGUUCAAGAAGAUCCAGCUAAAAGGCCUUCAAUAACAAAGGUGGUUCUCAUGCUCGACAGCAACUCGGUUUCGUUGCCGCAACCUCAGAAACCGGCAUAUUUAGCAGAAAUGAGUGGAGUCCUCCAGGAGCAAAGGGGCUUGAAGAAGUGUCUGUCAAUGAAGUGUCGAUAACUGAAAUAGAGCCUCAAUAGAGGAACUCUGGAUUGUACAAAAUACGUACAAAUUGGCAAUGGGUUCUCAUGCUCGACAGCAACUCGGUUUCGUUGCCGCAACCUCAGAAACCGGCAUAUUUCCUUAGUAGCAGAAAUGAGUCGAGUCCUCCAGGAGCAAAGGGGCUUGAAGAAGUGUCUGUCAAUGAAGUGUCGAUAACUGAAAUAGAGCCUCAAUAGAGGAACUCUGGAUUGUACAAAAUACGUACAAAUUGGCAAUGUUUCUGGGUCU
rnacentral:lncRNA from 1 species